rnacentral:rRNA from 1 species
GACGGAAGGUGCAAGCGUUGCUCGGAAUCACUGGGCGUAAAGGGUGCGUAGGCGGCCGUGCAAGUCUGGCGUGAAAGCCCCGGGCUCAGCCCGGGAAGUGCGCUCGAAACUGCGCGGCUCGAGUGCCGGAGGGGAGAGUGGAAUUCCUGGCGUAGCGGUGAAAUGCGUAGAUAUCAGGAGGAAUACCGGUGGCGAAAGCGACUCUCUGGACGGCAACUGACGCUGAGGCACGAAAGCGUGGGGAGCAAACAGG